rnacentral:rRNA from 1 species
AUGAGCCGCCGCCGCCGCCGCCACCCCCUCUCGCCGGCGGCGGCGCCCCUUGAUGAUGACGACCUGCUCUCCGAGAUCCUCCUCCGCCUCCCCCCGCAGCCGUCCUCCCUCCCCCGCGCCUCUCUCGUCUGCAGGCGCUGGCGCCUCCUCGUCUCCGACCCUCGCUUCGCCCGCCGCUUCCGCAUCCACCACCGCCGCAACCCUCCCCUCCUCGGUUUCUUUGAUGAAGGCUUUCGCGACAUCUCCUUCGUACCUACUCUGGAGCCCCACAAUCGUGUCCCGCCCGGGCGCUUCUCUUUGAAGUUCGACGGCGGCGGCCGCUUCGUGCCUCUCGGAUGCCGCCAUGGCCUGGUACUCGUUUACCACGCAUUUUGGAAACAGAUCCUGGUGUGGGAUCCUGUCACCACCGACCAGCACCGCAUUGCAGUCCCCCCAGGGUUUGCGAGCGAUAAGGGUUUCAUCUUGAUUACUGCGGCGGUGCUUCGGGCUUCGGGAGACGUCCACUUCCAGGUAGCCUUAGCAGUGGUAGACAGAGAACACAGGCGAGCUCUCGCCUGUGUUUACUCGUCAGAGACUGGAGAAUGGAGUGAUAUCAUCUGGACACCUCUUCCAUCCGAGGCUUCUGCGGGCAAUCUGUUCUUUACAGAGAGGCCCGCUGUGCUGGUUGGGCAUUCUCUUUACUGGCUGCUUGUUGGGAAUAUGAUUGGAUUUCUGGAGUUUGAUUUGAAGAGGCAGAGCCUAACUAUGAUACGGAUACCGGUGGAUUUGUUUACCAAGGGCACUUUUGAUAUCUGUGCGAUGCGGGCAGAGGAUGGUGGUCUUGGUUUCCUCUUUCUGCUGCACACAGACCACAGUAUCCAAUUAUGGAAGAGGCGGACUGAAUGUCAUGGUGCUGCUUCAUGGGUGCUAGGAAGAACUAUUGAACUGGACAAGCUAAUUCCCUUGAAUUUAGUGGACAAAUGGCCUUUUAUGAUACUGGGGUUUGCUGAGGACAAUAAUGUGGUGUUUCUGUGGACAAGUGGCGUCUUCUUUAUGAUCCAUCUUGGGUCAUUGCAGUUCAAGCAACUUUCUGAAGCCGAGGACAAUAAUGUGGUGUUUCUGUGGACAAGUGGCGUCUUCUUUAUGAUCCAUCUUGGGUCAUUGCAGUUCAAGCAACUUUCUGAAGCUGAGUUCAUUUUUUAUUGUCACCCAUUCGAAAGCGUCUACACUGCAGAAACAGACAUUGGUGGACACGAUGGGGCUGGUCUUUUGCAGAAUACAUAA